UCGUACCUGUUCAACUGAUAACUAGGGAUGGGAAUCGAGAACCGGUUCUUCUUCAGAACCAGAGCCCAGUGAAUCGAUUCCUUGGAACUGUUAGCGUGCCUGCUUAACGAUUCUGCUUAUCAGUUCCGCUCAUUGCAAAUGCGUCAUGACGUCACACACACGCUGCGUUGUUUUGGUUCAGAACGCAGCAAACAUGGCGUCGAGGCAGAACCGCUCUAAAGUUUGGUUAUUUUUCACGCGAAAAGACGACAACACGGUCACUUGCAACACUUGUAAAGUUUCCAUUUCGUCAAAGGGGGAACUACCUCCAAUAUGCAGAAACAUUUGGCGACACAGCAUCAAUUCAUUUGCAGGACUGUCGCAUGUUUGAUACCCUACUACCUAGCGACACAAGUGUGUUAAGACGCAGCGGAGCUAACGGGACGCCAUCUGUUAUCAAUGCCGAAGUUGUAUCUUAUGCCUCAAACCUUCCUCUCAUGAUCAACAAACUAAAAUCACCUCACCCUUCAUAUAGCACCUACCUGCAACUCUGCAGUGCUGGCUCUCCCUGCAUUACCCUCACCACUGUUAGUGUCCAGCUGAACUUCAUCUGACCUCUAAUAUGAAAGCAGUGGAGAUGAAUAAGGUAUAGAAAAAUACUGAUGGGAAUGUCAAGAACAAGCGAACAACACACAGACUAACACCUUUCUAGAUGUGGGAGAUGUGUAACAUUACUCGUUUUCAAGUUACACAGGUUAGGAUGAUGGAAAAAUCAUGUUCUUUUACGAUCAUCUUAAAUACCAGGCAUGAAAACGGGUCAGGGGUGCAAAAGGUAAGAAGGAUAUUACCCCUCUAGGGGGGGUCCGGGGGCCUUGCUCCCCCGGAAGAAAAUGUUGAAUAUUCCAUAUUUUAAAGCAUCAAUCUGAUGCAUUUUGAGAUGCAUCUUUUGCCAACCUGGGGAGAGCUGGAGAAACUUAACUUCAGCCAUGAGUCAAAAAUAUUAUGGCCUCCUUACUAAGUAUUAUGCAACUUCGGGAUAAGGAUUGGCUCUAAGGGCUGGGUCGGUCGGGCUGGGGUGCGAAGCGGGGCUGGGCUCGAGCCGCGGCUGGGGGAGCAGUCGCCCCGUCGCCCUCCUCUCUCCGCCGCUGGAAGUGCGGUGCGCGGCCCAUCUCGCGGGGCCCUCGUCCGCGGCGCCUCGUGUGUCGUUGGGCGGGGGUUUUCGCGGGGUGGUGUCCGACGCCGUGUGGAAGGCGGGCCGGUGGAGGGGAUCGGGUACGGCGGUCGGCGGCGACUCUGGACGCGCAACGGGCCCUUCUCGCGGAUCUCCCCAGCUACGGCGCCUGUUGGGCCCCGUUCGCGCGGGGUCCUGGCAGGUCGCCUCGGCUGGCGCCUAGCAGCUGACUUAGAACUGGUCCGGACCAGGGGAAUCCGACUGUCUU